rnacentral:rRNA from 1 species
AGAGUUUGAUCAUGGCUCAGGACGAACGCUGGCGGCGUGCCUAAUACAUGCAAGUCGAGCGAGCUUGCCUAGAUGAAUUUGGUGCUUGCACCAAAUGAAACUAGAUACAAGCGAGCGGCGGACGGGUGAGUAACACGUGGGUAACCUGCCCAAGAGACUGGGAUAACACCUGGAAACAGAUGCUAAUACCGGAUAACAACACUAGACGCAUGUCUAAGUUUAAAAGAUGGUUCUGCUAUCACUCUUGGAUGGACCUGCGGUGCAUUAGCUAGUUGGUAAGGUAACGGCUUACCAAGGCAAUGAUGCAUAGCCGAGUUGAAGACUGAUCGGCCACAUUGGGACUGAGACACGGCCCAAACUCCUACGGGAGGCAGCAGUAGGGAAUCUUCCACAAUGGACGCAAGUCUGAUGGAGCAACGCCGCGUGAGUGAAGAAGGGUUUCGGCUCGUAAAGCUCUGUUGGUAGUGAAGAAAGAUAGAGGUAGUAACUGGCCUUUAUUUGACGGGUAAUUACUUAGAAAGUCACGGCUAACUACGUGCCAGCAGCCGCGGUAAUACGUAGGUGGCAAGCGUUGUCCGGAUUUAUUGGGCGUAAAGCGAGUGCAGGCGGUUCAAUAAGUCUGAUGUGAAAGCCUUCGGCUCAACCGGAGAAUUGCAUCAGAAACUGUUGAACUUGAGUGCAGAAGAGGAGAGUGGAACUCCAUGUGUACGCGGUGGAAUGCGUAGAUAUAUGGAAGAACACCAGGUGGCGAAGGCGGCUCUCUGGUCUGCAACUGACGCUGAGGGCUCGGAAAAGCCAUGGGGUUAGCGAACAGGAUUAGAUACCCUGGUAGUCCAUGCCGUAAACGAUGAGUGCUAAGUGUUGGGAGGUUUCCGCCUCUCAGUGCUGCAGCUAACGCAUUAAGCACUCCGCCUGGGGAGUACGACCGCAAGGUUGAAACUCAAAGGAAUUGACGGGGGCCCGCACAAG